rnacentral:rRNA from 1 species
GUAACAGGUCUAGCUUGCUAGACGCUGACGAGCGGCGGACGGGUGAGUAAUGCAUAGGAAUCUGCCCGAUAGUGGGGGAUAACCUGGGGAAACCCAGGCUAAUACCGCAUACGUCCUACGGGAGAAAGGGGGCUUCGGCUCCCGCUAUCGGAUGAGCCUAUGUCGGAUUAGCUAGUUGGUGGGGUAAUGGCCCACCAAGGCGACGAUCCGUAGCUGGUCUGAGAGGAUGAUCAGCCACAUCGGGACUGAGACACGGCCCGAACUCCUACGGGAGGCAGCAGUGGGGAAUAUUGGACAAUGGGGGCAACCCUGAUCCAGCCAUGCCGCGUGUGUGAAGAAGGCCUUAGGGUUGUAAAGCACUUUCAGCGAGGAAGAACGCCUGGCGGUUAAUACCCGCCAGGAAAGACAUCACUCGCAGAAGAAGCACCGGCUAACUCCGUGCCAGCAGCCGCGGUAAUACGGAGGGUGCAAGCGUUAAUCGGAAUUACUGGGCGUAAAGCGCGCGUAGGUGGCUUGAUAAGCCGGUUGUGAAAGCCCCGGGCUCAACCUGGGAACGGCAUCCGGAACUGUCAAGCUAGAGUACAGGAGAGGAAGGUAGAAUUCCCGGUGUAGCGGUGAAAUGCGUAGAGAUCGGGAGGAAUACCAGUGGCGAAGGCGGCCUUCUGGACUGAUACUGACACUGAGGUGCGAAAGCGUGGGUAGCAAACAGGAUUAGAUACCCUGGUAGUCCACGCCGUAAACGAUGUCGACCAGCCGUUGGGUGCCUAGCGCACUUUGUGGCGAAGUUAACGCGAUAAGUC